AACAUCGCGCACCUGCGGGAACCUGCGGAAGGAUCAUUACUGAGUCACGUGCUCAAACAACCCUUCUGUGGACCUGAAAUAAAACCGUUGCCUCGGCGGGCGGUCCCCCCAAGCAAACCCACGUGGUGGGUUAGGGGACCAGACAGUCCGGCACGCUUAAGGCGUCCGGCGCCAGCCGCUGGCCCCAAACAAUUAAACUCUAGUAACCUUUACCUUCUGAGUUUCAAUAUUUAAAAAUAA
rnacentral:misc_RNA from 1 species